CUUCCGAUCUGAAAGCGAGUCUGAAUAGGGCGUUGUAGUGGCAGGAUCUAGACCCGAAGCGGAGUGAUCUAUCCAUGGCCAGGUUGAAGCACGUGUAAGAGCGUGUGGAGGACCGAACCCACCUAGGUUGAAAACUGGGGGGAUGAGCUGUGGAUAGGGGUGAAAGGCCAAUCAAACUCUGUGAUAGCUGGUUCUCCCCGAAAUGCAUUUAGGUGCAGCGUUACAUGUUUCUUGCUGGAGGUAGAGCUACUGGAUGGCCGAUGGGCCCGCGAGGGUUACUGACGUUAGCUAAACUCCGAAUGCCGGUAAGUGAGAGUGUAGCAGUGAGACAGUGGGGGAUAAGCUUCAUUGUCGAGAGGGAAACAGCCCAGACCAUCAACUAAGGCCCCUAAGCGUGUGCUAAGUGGGAAAGGAUGUGGAGUUGCUGAGACAACCAGGAGGUUGGCUUAGAAGCAGCCAUCCUUGAAAGAGUGCGUAAUAGCUCACUGGUCAAGUGAUUCUGCGCCGAUAAUGUAGCGGGGCUCAAGUACACCGCCGAAGUUGUGGCAAUCAGUCUUUGUGGCUGGUUGGGUAGGGGAGCGUCCUGCACGAGGUGAAGCUGCCACGGGAGUGUGUGGUGGAUUGUGUGGGAGUGAGAAUGCAGGCAUGAGUAGCGAAUCACGGGUGAGAAACCCGUGCGCCGGAUGAUCAAGGGUUCCAGGGUCAAGUUAAUCUGCCCUGGGUUAGUCGGGGCCUAAGGCGAGGCCGACAGGCGUAGUCGAUGGAUAACGGGUUGAUAUUCCCGUACCAGUGAAGGACCGUCCAUACUGAUAUUGUGAUGCUAACCAUGCCGAUCACGGUGUCAUGAAGUUUUUCUUUGUGGUGUUGUGGGGUGUGUGGGACCCAAGCUUUGGAGGUAAGCGUGUUAACAGGUGUGACGCAGGAAGGUAGCCAAGCCACGCGGUGGUUGUCGUGGUCUAAGCGUGUAGGAUGACUGGUUGUUAAAUGCGCCGGUUGUGUGUCUGAGACGUGAUGGGACCCCUUGUUUGUGGGGGAUUUGGUGAUCCUAUGCUGCCGAGAAAAGCAUCGGCGUGAGGUUUUAGCUGCCCGUACCCGAAACCGACACAGGUGAUCAGGUAGAGAAUACUAAGGCGAUCGAGAGAAUCAUGGUUAAGGAACUCGGCAAAAUGCCCCCGUAACUUCGGGAGAAGGGGGGCCCUGAGCGUGAUCUGCCCGUGCGGUGGGGAGCGUGUAGGGGUCGCAGAGACCAGGGGGAAGCGACUGUUUAUCAAAAACACAGGUCCGUGCGAAGUCGUAAGACGAGGUAUACGGACUGACUCCUGCCCGGUGCUGGAAGGUUAAGAGGAUUGGUUAGCCCUGUGUGGGCGAAGCUGAGAAUUUAAGCCCCAGUAAACGGCGGUGGUAACUAUAACCAUCCUAAGGUAGCGAAAUUCCUUGUCGGGUAAGUUCCGACCUGCACGAAUGG
rnacentral:rRNA from 1 species